rnacentral:snRNA from 1 species
GUGCUCGCUUUGGCAGUACAUAUACUAAAAUUACAAUGAUACAGAGAAGAUUAGCAUGGCCUCUGCACAAGGAUGACAUGCAAAUUCGUGAAGCGUUCCAUAUUUUU